GGAUCAGUAGGUUGGUCAUGCCACUGGUAUGUACUGGUCUCACUGAUUCCUCCUUCCUGAUGAGCCGUAAUGCCAUUAAUUUGGUGUUGCGGGGAAUCUGGACUGUUACUUUGAAAAAAUUAGAGUGUCUAAAGCAGGCUUUCGCCUGAAUACAUUAGCAUGGAAUAAUGAAAUAGGACGUUCGAUCCUAUUUUGUUGGUUUCUAGGAUUGACGUA
rnacentral:rRNA from 1 species